GAUGAACGCUGGCGGCGUGCCUAAUACAUGCAAGUCGAGCGAACAGACGAGGAGCUUGCUCCUCUGACGUUAGCGGCGGACGGGUAAGUAACACGUGGAUAACCUACCUAUAAGACUGGGAUAACUUCGGGAAACCGGAGCUAAUACCGGAUAAUAUAUUGAACCGCAUGGUUCAAUAGUGAAAGACGGUUUUGCUGUCACUUAUAGAUCGAUCCGCGCCGCAUUAGCUAGUUGGUAAGGUAACGGCUUACCAAGACAUCGAUGCGUAGCCGACCUGAGAGGGUGAUCGGCCACACUGGAACUGAGCCACGGUCCAGACUCCUACGGGAGGCAGCAGUAGGGAAUCUUCCGCAAUGGGCGAAAGCCUGACGGAGCAACGCCGCGUGAGUGAUGAGGGUCUUCGGAUCGUAAAACUCUGUUAUUAGGGAAGAACAAAUGUGUAAGUAACUAUGCACGUCUUGACGGUACCUAAUCAGAAAGCCACGGCUAACUACGUG
rnacentral:rRNA from 1 species